rnacentral:rRNA from 1 species
GUGAGGAAUAUUGGACAAUGGGCGCAAGCCUGAUCCAGCCAUGCCGCGUGCAGGAAGACGCAUCUAUGGUGUGUAAACUGCUUUUGUACGGGAAGAAACACUCCCUCGUGAGGGAGCUUGACGGUACCGUAAGAAUAAGGAUCGGCUAACUCCGUGCCAGCAGCCGCGGUAAUACGGAGGAUCCAAGCGUUAUCCGGAAUCAUUGGUUUUAAAGGGUCCGUAGGCGGUUUAAUAAGUCAGUGGUGAAAGCCCAUCGCUCAACGAUGGAACGGCCAUUGAUACUGUUAGACUUGAAUUGCAAGGAAGUAACUAGAAUAAGUAGUGUAGCGGUGAGAUGCGUAUAUAUUACAUGGAAUACCAAUUGCGAAGGCAGGUUACUACUUGUGGAUUGACGCUGAUGGACGAAAGCGUGGGGAGCGAACAGGAUUAAAAACCCCAGUAGUCC